GCACUGCUGAAGAGUCCCAUGAUAGCACGAAACGACCGUCCAGUGC
rfam:Schistosoma haematobium scaffold472_28, whole genome shotgun sequence.